AAGAUGAAUACUCAGAGCAGGUGGGU
rnacentral:piRNA from 1 species